UAAAUCCAUUUAUACACCCUUGUGAACUGUGCGCUGAAGAUGUUGCGUUUAUCGUGCAUCUUUCGUUGCAAAAACUACUUAAUUUAAGAAAGCUGAAGCAAUUUUAUUAAAUAAAA
rnacentral:misc_RNA from 1 species